rnacentral:rRNA from 1 species
UACGUAGGGGGCAAGCGUUGUCCGGAUUCAUUGGGCGUAAAGGGUGCGUAGGCGGCGCGGUAAGUCGGGUGUGAAAUUUCGGAGCUUAACUCCGAAACUGCAUUUGAUACUGGCGUGCUUGAGGACUGGAGAGGAGACUGGAAUUCAUGGUGUAGCAGUGAAAUGCGUAGAGAUCAUGAGGAAGACCAGUGGCGAAGGCGGGUCUCUGGACAGUUCCUGACACUGAGGCACGAAGGCCAGGGGAGCAAACGGG